rnacentral:rRNA from 1 species
AAUGAACGUUGGCGGCGUGGAUUAGGCAUGCAAGUCGAACGCGUGUAGCAAUACACGAGUGGCGCACGGGUGCGUAACGCGUGGGAACCUUCCUCGUAGUUCGGAAUAACCCAGGGAAACUCGGGCUACUACCGGAUACCUCCUUCGGGAGAAAGAUUUAUCGCUAUGAGAUGGGCCCGCGUCAGAUUAGGUAGUUGGUAGGGUAACGGCCUACCAAGCCGACGAUCUGUAGCUGGUCUGAGAGGAUGAUCAGCCACACUGGGACUGAGACACGGCCCAGACUCCUACGGGAGGCAGCAGUGGGGAAUAUUGGACAAUGGGGGCAACCCUGAUCCAGCCAUGCCGCGUGAGUGAAGAAGGCCUUCGGGUUGUAAAGCUCUUUCGACGGGGACGAUGAUGACGGUACCCGUAUAAGAAGCCCCGGCUAACUUCGUGCCAGCCGCCGCGGUAA